GGAUAAGGCGCUUCCAGGACAGUUCUGUGAAGACAGCUUAUUUCAGGGUCCCAGAGGGAUCUCACAUUUGGGGAAUUUAGAGCUCAAGUAAAGGAGGAGGCUGGUGAAACUAGAAAAUAUUGGCAACCAUCGUAAUGACCAAGACAUCCCCCAGGCUUCUGCUCACCAAAUAACAGUGUCCCAGUGGAUACAAAACUUACAACCGUGAAAACAAUAUAUGUGUGACCUGGUAAACAUUGAUCAAUAGAACUGUAAGCCCCCUCCCGCCAAAAGAUAUAUCUGAUUCCUAACCCCCAGAAUCUGUGAAGGUGACUUUAUUUGGAAAAAAGGGUCUUUUCAGAUAUAAAUAAGUUAAGGACCUCAAGAUGAGAUAAUCCUGGAUUUAGGGUGGACCCUAAAUCCAGAUAGGUGUCCUUAUAAGAGGGGAAGAUACACCGGAUGAAGAUGGAGAUGUGAAGAUGGAGGCACAACCUAAGUGUCCAUAGGCAGAUGGAGGCAGAGAUUGGAGUGAUGUGUCUUCAAACCAAGGAGGACCAGGGACCGCUGGCAGCCACCGGAGGCUGGGAGAGAGGCAUGGAACACGGAUUCUCCAAAAGCAGCCUACCCUGCCCGCACCUCAGUUUCGGACUGCUGGUCUCAUCUCCGGAACUGUGAAAGAGUAAAUUUCUGUUGUUUUAGGCCAACUGGUUUGUGGCAAUCUGUUAUCGAAGAUGUAAGAAACUAAUACAAGUACUAGAUUAUUUUACUGUAUUUUAAAAAGGAAAGAAACACAGCAUUAAAAUAGCA